CGGCAAUGCAGCCUCAAACAAUGACCCCGAAAUGGAUGGGGAAGAUGGGGUUUCCUUCAUCAGUCCACUGGGCAUCCUGUACACCCCAGCUUUAAAAGUGAUGGAAGGCCACGGGGAAGUGAAUAUUAAGCAUUAUCUAAACUGCAGUCACUGUGAGGUAGACGAAUGUCACAUGGACCCCGAAAGCCACAAGGUCAUCUGCUUCUGUGACCACGGGACGGUGCUGGCGGAGGAUGGUGUCUCCUGCAUUGGUAAGGCGGGGAGCAGGGGAAGCAGAGGAGCUUAGAGCCUGAGAUUU
rnacentral:lncRNA from 1 species